GCCGGCAGCUAGCUCUCUGCAACUCUCACAUGGUCGCCCACUGAAGCUUAGCAGGGCUGUGCCCGGUCAGUACCUGGAUGGCAGACCACAUGGUAAAGCUAGGUUGCUGCCGGAA
rnacentral:rRNA from 1 species